GGACUCUUGAAGUCUUAGUGGCGCAGCUAACGCACUAAGUUGACCGCCUGGGGAGUACGGCCGCAAGGUUAAAACUCAAAUGAAUUGACGGGGGCCCGCACAAGCGGUGGAGCAUGUGGUUUAAUUCGACGCAACGCGAAGAACCUUACCUGGCCUUGACAUGCAGAGAACUUUCCAGAGAUGGAUUGGUGCCUUCGGGAACUCUGACACAGGUGCUGCAUGGCCGUCGUCAGCUCGUGUCGUGAGAUGUUGGGUUAAGUCCCGUAACGAGCGCAACCCCUAUCCCUAGUUGCUAGCAGUUCGGCUGAGAACUCUAGGGAGACUGCCGGUGACAAACCGGAGGAAGGUGGGGAUGACGUCAGGUCAUCAUGGCCCUUACGGCCAGGGCUACACACGUGCUACAAUGGUGCGUACAGAGGGCUGCAAACCCGCGAGGGGGAGCUAAUCUCACAAAACGCAUCGUAGUCCGGAUCGGAGUCUGCAACUCGACUCCGUGAAGUCGGAAUCGCUAGUAAUCGCGAAUCAGAAUGUCGCGGUGAAUACGUUCCCGGGCCUUGUACACACCGCCCGUCACACCAUGGGAGUGGAUUGCACCAGAAGUGGUUAGUCUAACCUUCGGGAGGA
rnacentral:rRNA from 1 species